UAUUUAAUAUUAUUAUUUAUUAUCUAUAAAUAUAAGAAAUCUAAAACAAUUUAAAGUAUAGUAAUAGAAAUCAACAAAUAAUAAGAAGUAAAUAUAU
rnacentral:rRNA from 1 species